UUUAAUGAAACAGUGGGGAUUGAGGUUGUGUUUUGGUUUAAUAAAAUGGUAGGGAUUGAGGGGAGUGAUGCUGUGCGUUUUGAUUGAGCACCAAGAAUUCCAAGUUGGGAAGUUUAUUGAUAAAUCAGUACUGGUGGUAAAGGGAUUGACAUUGGCUGAACUUGUUCAAUUGAUCUCGUGCCAUUAUCAUCAAGUUUCUGAAAAGGGAACACCUGCUCAAAAAAUAAAACAUGAUGUGAGAUAAAGAUUCGGCUGGAAGAAAUAUCAAGACAUGUAUACUCUUUAUGGACCUUAUUGUAUCCUAAGAAGACACAACAAGAUGAUUUUGGUGCAAAUUUAUGAGGUGAAUAUGCCUUUAACCAUGGAUAGCAUAAUAAGCCAAAGACCCUCAAUUCAUCAUAAUUCAGUUUGACAUGAAACAAAAUUUCAUAAGGAGUUUGAUUUUGAAUUUUUGUUGAUGGUAACCGAUUUAUGGUGUAGACAGCCGUAUCAAAUGCAUAGGUCCAAUAGGAGUACGGUACUGAAGCAUGAUGCAUUAGAGCACGACCUAACUCAAUAAUGUGCCUAUGUUUCCGUUCAAUAUAGCCAUUUUGCUAAGGUGUAUGAGGACAAGAUACACAUUGAUUUAUACCAUUUUCAUGGAGAUAUUUAGUGAGAGACCGAAAUUCACUCCCCCAAUCUGAUUGAAAGUUCUUAAUUGGUAAGCCAAAAUAUUUUUCUACUAAUUCUUGAAAUUGAACAAAUAUAGAAAAGACAUCAAAUUUGUUUUUCAGAAAAUAUAGCCAACUAUAUUUGCUAAAAUAGUCAUAAAACAUCACAUAAUAUCGAUAGCCAUCAAUAGAAAUGACAGGAGAAGGUCACCAAACAUCAAAACAAAUUAACUCGAGGGGUUGCUUUGCAUGAAAAUUUGAUUCAGAAAAGGGCAAUUUAUGUGAUUUGCUCACAUGAAAAGCAUGAUAAAUAUGAAACAGUUUAUUCGAAUCAAAUGAAAGUUUAUUAGUUCAAAGAACAUGAUUAACAACUUUAAAAUUGGCAUGUCCUAAAUGUUCAUGUCGUAAAGAAACUGUCGUCAGAAAUGCUUUAGGUGAAAAGGAUCGAAUUGGCUUCAUGGAAAAUAGAUACAAUCCAUCCUUACUCGGGCCUUGGUAGAGCACCUGUGACUCGCGGUUGUCGAAGCCGGUCAAAAAUAACCUUUCCGGUUAUCAACAAUAUUACUACUGCAGAUAGUGGUAAAGGAUCGAAUCCACAGAGAAUUGAAAAACUUACAUAUUCUUCUUAUCAAGACCAAGAAAAUUAACUGAAACUAAAAUAAACUGAAAGAGAAAUAAACUGAAACGAGAUAAACUGAAAGAAAAUAAAUUGAAAGUAAAAUGGGGGGGUUUUGAGAUUGAUUUAAUUGAUCUAAUUCUGAAAGCAGUAAAAGUAAAGCGAAUAAUAAAAAUAAAGGGAAUUCAAUAAUUAAAAAGCUCUAGUUGAAGAGUUGGAUCCACUUCAGUUAUUGGGAUUGAUCAUUGAAACUUAUAUUCUUUUGAUUGAUUUAAUAGAUUAGUUAUGGAGAUGGAAAACGUUUCUCACCACCAUGUCUCUCCUUAAUCAUAAACCAAUUAGGGAACGUCCUCUAAUUAAUUACUAAUUAACAAGUUGCCAAGGAACAUCCUUGGGCCUUAGGCAUCAAAACAACUGUCAAUUGCAAUAAGAGAUAGAGAGAGCCAAUC
rnacentral:lncRNA from 1 species